rnacentral:rRNA from 1 species
CAAUAGCGUAUAUUAAAGUUGUUGCAGUUAAAAGCUCGUAGUUGGAUUUCUGGUCUGAUGCCCUGGCCCGCUUCAAUUUCGAAGUGAGUGCCGGCUGUGCGUCUACCAUCCUUCUAGAAAACGUUCCUACCCUUCACUGGGCCGGGUUCGCGAUCUAGAUCUUUUACUUUGAAAAAUUAGAGUGUUUAAAGCAGGCUUUUGCUAUGAAUACAUUAGCAUGGAAUAAUAAUCUAGGACUUCGGUUCUAUUUUGUUGGUUUCUAGUACUGAAGUAAUGAUUGAUAGGGGAUAGUUGGGGGUGGCUAGUAUUGGCUGGGCCGCAGAGGUGAAAAUUCUUGGAUUCGCUCAAGACUAACUUAUGCGAAAGCAUUCACCAAGGAUGUCUUCUUUAAUCAAGAAC